rnacentral:rRNA from 1 species
UACGUAGGUGGCAAGCGUUGUCCGGAUUUACUGGGCGUAAAGGGCGUGCAGGCGGUUUGUUAAGUGCAGGGUGAAAGCUCCCGGCUCAACUGGGAGAGGUCCUUGCAUACUGGCGAACUCGAGGGAGGCAGAGGAAAGUGGAAUUCCCGGUGUAGUGGUGAUAUGCGUAGAUAUCGAGAGGAACACCUGUGGCGAAGGCGGCUUUCUGGGCCUUACCUGACGCUGAGACGCGAAAGCGUGGGGAGCGAACCGG